rnacentral:rRNA from 1 species
UACGAAGGGGGCUAGCGCUGUUCGGAAUCACUGGGCGUAAAGCGCUUGUAGGCGGAUCGUUAAGUCAGGGGUGAAAUCCCGAGGCUCAACCUCGGAACUGCCUUUGAUACUGGCGAUCUUUGAGUCCGGGAGAGGUGAGUGGAACUCCGAGUGUAGAGGUGAAAUUCGUAGAUAUUCGGAAGAACACCAGUGGCGAAGGCGGCUCACUGGCCCGGUACUGACGCUUAAGAGCGAAAGCGUGGGGAGCAAACAGG